ACAUAGUGCUACUGUCAUCCCUGCUGGAGAAGGUCCAAAGCACCUCCACCUCUGUGCUUCCAGAGGGGCAUUGUGGUGGCCACUUAAAAUGCUCAGGCUGUACCAUGCACUAGAGCAUCUACCUGGGCAAGGGAUAUGCUGUAUGACACUCUCCUGAUGCUGGGCAGUGGCUGUGAGCCAAAGCACCCAGGCAGCCCUGCCAUCAGAAGGGUAAACCACGGACACCUGAUGCCUUCCUGAAGGAAGAGCACUACGCCUGCCAAACCAUCAAGCGUUGAUGCUCCAGCGCCUUCUACCCGUGGUUCUCCAGCCUCAGCAGAAGAGAGAGAAAUUGAGGACCCUGUCGUUGUAGCAUCCCCAUCACCCAGCAAUUAAUUUUAGUUCAAUGCUUCAAACGCUCUUCAGGCACAGUGUGCGUUCAGCUGUGUCAGCUAAUGCAAAUGGGGGAUCUCAGAAGUCUUAAUGAAGUAACUAUCCCUGAACACUGGGAUCAAUACUCAGAAUCCAGCUGUCAAAUCAACACCAAGCGUUUCACUCGUCGCCCAGCCUAGAGUGCAAUGGCACUAUCUCGGCUCACUAUAACCUCCGCCUCCCGGGUUCAAGCAAUUCUUCUGCUUCAGCGUCCCAAGUAGCUGGGAUUACAGCCGCCUCCUGGAGCAGAUUGUUAAGCUGAUGCGAGUCUGGGCUCUGCCUCACCACUUGUCUCAGAGAAUGUCCAGUGCUAGGAGACUCAUAAGUUGGAGAGAAACGGCCUGAUUUAUAGAAACUGAGUGAGACUUCGGACCACCUGAUGCAGAGAAACCUGUGACCUGAAAAAGUCUAUUUGUGUUUCCUCUGGGAAUCUCGGCCAAGAAGACAGGGACAAGCUCCCAACUCUGACUACCCCUUUUACAGGGAAAAAAAAAUCCCGUGCCUUCUUUGCAGCAAGUGACAAAUCCUUGUCAUAUCGAGAUGGCUUUUCCUCCUCCUCUUCAAACAUCUUUUAGCAGCAACAGCAGCUCAAGUAACUGGAAUUAUUUCAGAGUUAAAAUGCAGGCUUUGUAGACCCUCUUAGACAGACAGAUUCAAUUUCAAAGGAAACUUCUUUGGCUGGGUACUCAGUGUUACACAGGGAUUUGGGGAGUUAAUAUUCACUGUUUCUGUUGUUGGAGAAAAGGAAAGCAGAGUUGCUCUUUCUCAUUACUCUCCCCAAAGCACAUCUGUUUCCUCUCGUAUCUUGGAAUUAGGAAGAUGGAGGAGACUUGAGUGGUGACCCACCUAGCCUCUUGAUGCAUGCUGGGCUCACUUUAAAACUCCCAAAACAGAUGGCAGUUGAUCACGGUUUUAAAGAUCCCAGCAUAGACUUUCUGCAGCCUCCCUUGUUAGCCACUAUCAGCGCUUAACAUUCUGUCAUCUGAAUAACUCCUUAAAAAUGAUAGCAAUGGUAGUAGAAAUUUAAAAAGAACCUCCCAAAAAACAUGCAAAAGCUUACCACCCCAGUAAAUCACCCGCAACAAUGUUGCAACAGUUUAAAUUUACUGCAGAGAGAGCUGAAGUUUAGGAGACACAGCUUUAUAAUAUUUUUGAGAGAUAGUUGAGUGCAAAUGAGUCCUGUUCCUCUUGCAUCAGGGCCUGCUCCACUGAGUCAUCCUGCCUUCAGAAGCUUCCAGCUAAGCAGCAGGCCCCGGCCAUAGGCUUCCUGUGUCCCCAGCCUCCAGAGAACACACGAUGUUCUCAUCGCCCUUAGCUCCAUUCCAGAAGGGGCCUGCAGUUCUGCAGCUUAUCAGGGGUCUACUGGGAAGUGAGAUGUCACUGUCCCUUUCUGGCCCUGCAUUGUCUGUGAGUGGCUCUCUUGGAUUAAGAGUUGGCAAAGUAUGGCCAGUGGCCAGGACUGGCCUGCUGCCUGUUUUUGUUUAACCCGUGAGCUAAGAAUAGUUUUUACCUAUUUUAAGUAGUUGAAAAAAAUAUCAAGAGAAGAAUACUAUUUCGUGAUAUGUGAAAAAUCACAUGAAAUUCAAAUGUAAGUGUCCAUAAAUAAAGUCUUACUGGAAGACA